rnacentral:rRNA from 1 species
UUCGAUGAUACGCGAGGAACCUUACCUGGGCUUAAAUGUAGAGUGCAUUUUUAGAGAUAGAAAUUCCCUUCGGGGCUUUCUGCAAGGUGCUGCAUGGUUGUCGUCAGCUCGUGCCGUGAGGUGUCGGGUUAAGUCCCAUAACGAGCGCAACCCUUAUCGUUAGUUGCCAUCUGGUAAUGCAGGGGACUCUAGCGAAACUGCCACCGUAAGGUGAGAGGAAGGUGGGAUGACGUCAAAUCAGCACGGCCCUUAUGUCCAGGGCUACACACGUGUUACAAUGGUCGGUACAGAGGGCAGCUACCUGGUGACAGGAUGCUAAUCUCGAAAACCGGUCUCAGUUCGGAUCGAAGUCUGCAACUCGACUUCGUGAAGCUGGAUUCGCUAGUAAUCGCGCAUCAGCUAUGGCGCGGUGAAUACGUUCCCGGGCCUU